UCGCGGCCUAUCAGCUUGUUGGUGAGGUAAUGGCUCACCAAGGCGACGACGGGUAGCCGGCCUGAGAGGGCGACCGGCCACACUGGGACUGAGACACGGCCCAGACUCCUACGGGAGGCAGCAGUGGGGAAUAUUGGGCAAUGGAGGAAACUCUGACCCAGCGACGCCGCGUGCGGGAUGAAGGCCUU
rnacentral:rRNA from 1 species